UGCAACACGCUCUUCUCAAGGAUUAAGCCAUGCACGUGCCAAGUUCACACCUUGUUAAAGUGAGACUGCGGACGGCUCAGUAAAUCGGUUAUAAUCUGUUCGAAAGUGUCAACCCAUUGGAUAACCGUGGGAAAUCUAGAGCUAAUACAUGUGACAACACGAUUCACAUCAGUAAUGUUUUGUGGGUCGGUGCAUUUAUUGGACAAAACCAAACGCUGGUGGGUCGUGUUCGGCCUGUCAGUGGGGUGAAUCUAGAUAACUGAGCAGAUUGCCAAGCCUUGUGCCGGCAAUGUUUCGAUUGAAUUUCCGCCCUAUCAACUGUUGAUGGUAAGGUAGAGGCUUACCAUGGUUGCAACGGGUAACGGGGAAUCAGGGUUCGAUUCCGGAGAGGGAGCCUGAGAAACGGCUACCACAUCCAAGGGAGGCAGCAGGCGCGCAAAUUACCCAAUCCAGACGAUGGGAGGUGGCAACGAGAAGUACUGGGUGCUCGGCAAUGCCGUGCGUCCCGGAAUGAGCAUAAAGUAAAAAGUUGGUCGAGUAACUACUGGAGGGCAAGUCUGGUGCCAGCAGCCGCGGUAAUUCCAGCUCCAGUAGCGUGUCGUAAAGUUGUUGCGUUUAAAACGCUCGUAGUCGGAUCAUGACGUGUGUGCCGGUUAACCGGGAGUGUUGGUAAUUCAACAUCGUAGCUUUCGUGUACUUGGGUAACUCCAGUCGCGUUGGUUGCGAUGUGCCUUCACAAACGGCGAUUGCUGGUGCACACUGGUUGCAUGCAAGAAUGGCCAUUGGCCUUGAGUGAGUUGGUGGUCGUGUCUUGCAGAGUGUGCCUUGAAUAAAUCAUAGUGCUUCAAGCAGGCCUUUGCCUGAGUGAUACAGCAUGGAACGAACCAUCGUGUUGUGUGUCUAUCGUUCAACCUUCUGCUCGCUUUCAUCGGUGGAUAGAUUUGGUUUGCGGUAGGCACUUCACCAACCACCACUACGGAUGUUGGUUUCCGUAAUGGGGUGAUGAUAAAAACGAGCGGUUGGGGGCAUUGGUAUU
rnacentral:rRNA from 1 species